CCACCGCCUCAGCGCCCCCGUCCAACACAGACUGGGAGGGGAGACCCCGGCCCGGGACGCCGUGACUGGCCAGAGUUGAAGGGGAGACUCCCGUCAGAUCAUGGACUAGCUAACGUGAACAGGACUCACCCGCUGGCAGGAUCACAGAGACGGGGAGAGAGAUCUUCCAUUCACUAGUUCACUCCACAAAUGGCUACAGGAGUCAGAUCUGGGCCAGGCUGAAGCCAGGAGCCAGGAGCUCCAUCCGGGUCUUCCUCAUGGGUGACAUGGGCCAUCUUCCACUGCCUUUCCACACCAUUAGCAGGAAGUUGGACUGGAAACCGAGCUGCUGCGACUGGAACUGGUACCAGGAUAUGGGAUUCGGGCAUCAGAAGCUGUGGUCUAACCCACUGCGCCACCUAGGAAGGAAAGGAGAAUUCAACUGGAGUCCUCCAUCUCAUCUCGCUUCUCUUGAAUGAAGGUAAACCUGCCCUAGACUGGUUCCUGGAUACCAACUCAGCCAGAUCACCAGUAAUGCUCCCAAGCAGCUUUCUCAUCCUGAUGACCUUGAACUACUAGAUCCAUCCUGAGAGGGAGGCUGGAGCUGGGCUCCUCAUUACUGCUGUUUAGCAUUUAGAGGACUUUCAAAGGGCACUGUUUACUUCUAAUUAGGAAUGGUGCAAGCCUGUUGACACUGCUCCCUUGGUGCCCAAGAAACACAAUCAGCUGUUGAAGAAACUGAGAAAGAAGCAGAGACAAACAAGUCUUGCUGCCUCCAGCAUGGCUGGGUUCUACUCUCCAGAUGCCUUCUAGCCAGACUUCAGCACGGGCGGAAACCAGGGUCCCAGAAAGUUCCUGCUCAGUGAUCCGCCCCACGUUACAGGAGCUAGAGAUUGGGAAGGGUCUCCUGACCUCACAGCAGGUGCUUUUUUUUUUUUGACAGGCAGAGUGGACAGUGAGAGAGAGAGACAGAGAGAAAGGUCUUCCUUUUGCCGUUGGUUCACCCUCCAAUGGCCGCCGCAGCCGGCGCACCGCGCUGAUCUGAAGCCAGCAGCCAGGUGCUUUUCCUGGUCUCCCAUGGGGUGCAGGGCCCAAGCACUUGGGCCAUCCUCCACUGCACUCCCGGGCCACAGCAGAGAGCUGGCCUGGAAGAGGGGCAACGGGGACAGAAUCCGGCGCCCCGACCAGGACUAGAACCCGGUGUGCCGGCGCCGCUAGGUGGAGGAUUAGCGCUGGCCAGCAGGUGCUAUUCUACAACUCCAAGGACGGGCUUUCAUCACCAUGCUAUCCAAGGUGAAGAGAUCUCCAGAAGAUCUGUUCUUAGACCCUGUUUCUCUACUAAAACAUAGCACUCCCCUAGCCCAGGGUGUUGGCAAUUUGGAUUGCCCGUAACUCUCUCCCCGGGGCCUGAAGCUGAGAGGAUUCAAGGCACCUGGACUCCUAAGGAAAUUUGCUGGCAAGCUUCUUGAAGAACCAGUCAUCACUGACUUCAGAGAACAGAGAUGUGCAGGCCACCAAGCUUGGCUGUCUCUGAGCACCUGCCUUGUUGAGAGGGCUACAGAGAUGUACAGACCAGUACCAGAUGAAACCCGUUGCUUACCAGCAAGCUUCCCUGGGUGCCCGAUGUAUGAAGAGUCCACAAUCAUCAUCUGCACACCUGUUGCACAGAAAGGUGCUAUCCCACAAUAGCUGUUGUUGCUGAAAAUCUGCUUUUCUACAGUCCCAGGUACUCCCAGACCUUACUGGCUGCAGCCAACAUUGUAACUGCAGCCUGCAGGUGCCUUAGCAUUCAUUAUUUAAAGGACACAUCUGCAGCCACCAUCUUUGAACAAGUGAUGUACGUCAAGAUGCGAUUUGUCAGCGGGCGGGCUGCUGUCCAACAAUACUGCCUCAAGAAACUGACCUCACACUUGGAAGACAGAGUGCCCUGGGCACACCCAUUCUCAAUUUAUCAUGGCCCCUGAUUAUUAUAAAGGAGAUACAUGCUCUACAGUCAUUUAUGGGGCUAAUACUCAUUUGAUGAGGGUGAAUGGAGAUCAGAAAAUGACUUCAUGGAUGUAGACGGCAUUUAAGCUAAAUAAGGCUACUAGAGCUUGAAAAAGAGCAAAGUGAGGAAAGACUUAAGGAGAGAGAUGGGCAGAGGCACACGGCAAGGCUGCAAGAUAGGGAAGGAACGCUUGAAAAAUGACCACUAGUGAGGAAGCGGAGGCAGUGUUUGGAUGGGUGAUUACAGAACCAGUCCUGUAGGUCAGGAAGAGUCACCUAGCAGCGCUGGCUAGAAAUGUGUGUGUGUGUGUGGGGGGGGGGAGCCCGCAGGAAAACCUCCGUGAAGCUCCACAGUAGACCUGGCGGUGGCAGAGCCGGAGAGGACGUGGCAGCAUGAGAGCAAGCCCAGAGUCGGCACCUGACGUCAGCGCUCUGAGGCGAGCAGCAGCUGUGUCAGGUGAUAAGGACGCAGUCUUCCCGAAACAAAUGACCACAGCAGACCCGCGUGGCGUUCCAAACCAGCACACCGCGCUUCAGGCCUCGUACUCUCGACCAAAGCACUGGGCAAACCGCGGGGAAGGAACGCACACAGGACACUCAGCAGGCACCUUAUAAUACAGUAUUUAUUUGUCUUCCCUCUGUCAAACCCUGAGCCAACCACUUGCCCCAGGUGUCCUGGGAAGGUACAGGAACGGAAAUGCACAGGGCAGACGAGGAUGGGACAAGGACCUGCGGGAGGUGGCGACGACUCUUUCACAUGGCGAAGAGGAUGAGAAAGGCCAC